GUAUUGAUUGUGCAUUAUCACAAAUAGUAAGACAUUCUACACAUGCAGUGGUUUUGUAUAAAAACGCAAAUGCCCCCUUUUGGAACAAACCAAAAGGAGAGCACCCACGCGGUGAUUCACAAAGGGGUGAGAUGGAUUGUAAGAGAGCACCGGAGCGUGCACAAAGUCAGCGACAGCCCUUGCACCUCAGUUUUACGAUAAUGAUCCUUCCGCAGGUUCACCUACGGAAA
rnacentral:misc_RNA from 1 species